AAGCAGGUAGGCUGGCCGGUAGGUGAGCUGUCCUCCUGGGCCCAGGUACUUCAGGGCCGGGUUCCGCACUGUGUUCUCCUUGCUCCCCAGGGACGUGUAGCUGGAGCCAGAAGAGUCGAGGGUCACAUCGUCAUGAGUGGGGCCGAUGCCCCCUGCCGUGAGGACAUGGGUGAAGCGGCUGGAAAAAGAGGCGACCUCAGCCGCGAUGGUGGCUACCUCAUCGGGUACAACAGAGACUCGGCACACCUGGACCCCCAGGGAGCGCAGUGUCCGGCACAGGAAGCUGCCGAGACGCCUGGCCUGGGCACAAGAGUGGGAAGAGCCACAGGAACGGAGCCAGGGAUGAUGUGUGCCACCUCGGGCCUCCUCUGCGCUGUGCCCUUGACCUCGUCUAUGCUAUGGAUUCAACGAUCGAUUCUACGCGGGUGACUCCACUUCCCACCAGCGCGGACAGUCAGCGCCCCGGCCCCGAGCGCCUAUCGGGUGCCUUCUCCCCAUGCCCGGCCGUUGUCUGGCACCCCAGACACUUUCCACAGCCAGUCAGGCCCUUCCUGCUGUCAACUCUCCUUCUGAAAUGUCUCUCCAUCUGCUCUCUUCUGUCCCUCAUGCCACCGAGCAGGUCCUUGGCACCUUUCACCUGGACAGUUGCGACAGUCCCCUGGCCGGGCCCCAGCUUCCAGUCACAGCACUCUGCCUGGUGCCUCCUGGAUACCCUUCCUAAUGUGUCACCGAGAUUGCAUCAGUCUUGGGCUCAGAAGUCAUUUGUUGUUUCCAACCAUAUACAGAAUAAAGUUCAAAUUCUUUUGCAGAAUA